UACGUAGGGGGCAAGCGUUGUCCGGAAUUACUGGGCGUAAAGCGUGCGCAGGCGGCUUCUCAAGUCAGGGGUGAAAGCCCAGAGCUCAACUCUGGAAUUGCCUUUGAGACUGAGUGGCUUGAGUACGAGAGAGGUGAGUGGAAUUCCCAGUGUAGAGGUGAAAUUCGUAGAUAUUCGGAAGAACACCGGUGGCGAAGGCGGCCCGCUGGGCUGUUGCUGACGCUGAGGCGCGACAGCGUGGGGAGCAAACAGG
rnacentral:rRNA from 1 species